UAGGGAAUCUUCCGCAAUGGACGCAAGUCUGACGGAGCAACGCCGCGUGAGUGAAGAAGGAUUUCGGUUCGUAAAACUCUGUUGUUAAGGAAGAACGAGUGUGAGAAUGGAAAGUUCAUGCUGUGACGGUACUUAACCAGAAAGGGACGGCUAACUACGUGCCAGCAGCCGCGGUAAUACGUAGGUCCCGAGCGUUGUCCGGAUUUAUUGGGCGUAAAGCGAGCGCAGGCGGUUAGAUAAGUCUGAAGUUAAAGGCAGUGGCUCAACCAUUGUAGGCUUUGGAAACUGUUUAACUUGAGUGCAGAAGGGGAGAGUGGAAUUCCAUGUGUAGCGGUGAAAUGCGUAGAUAUAUGGAGGAACACCGGUGGCGAAAGCGGCUCUCUGGUCUGUAACUGACGCUGAGGCUCGAAAGCGUGGGGAGCGAACAGG
rnacentral:rRNA from 1 species